rnacentral:ribozyme from 14 species
UUUUUUUUUUUUUUUUUCUCUCUCUCUCCUUCAGUUCAAACUUUUGGAAUGAAAAAGAAAAAAAAAAGUAAGAGAU